CCUACGGGAGGCAGCAGUAAGGAAUAUUGGUCAAUGGACGCAAGUCUGAACCAGCCAUGCCGCGUGCAGGAUGACGGCCCUCUGGGUUGUAAACUGCUUUUAUCUGGGACGAAAAACGGACUUUCUAGUUCACUUGACGGUACCAGAGGAAUAAGCACCGGCUAACUCCGUGCCAGCAGGCGGUAAU
rnacentral:rRNA from 1 species